UACAGAGGGGGCAAGCGUUAUUCGGAAUUAUUGGGCGUAAAGGGCGCGUAGGCGGCUUGAUGUGUCAAAGGUGAAAUCCCUCGGCUCAACUGAGGAACUGCCUUUGAAACUGUCUGGCUUGAGGCCGGGAGAGGGUAGCGGAAUUCCCAGUGUAGCGGUGAAAUGCGUGGAUACUGGGAGGAACACCGGUGGCGAAGGCGGCUACCUGGACCGGUUCUGACGCUGAUGCGCGAAAGCGUGGGUAGCAAACAGG
rnacentral:rRNA from 1 species